rnacentral:lncRNA from 13 species
AUUAAGGGGUAUCGAGUCAUUAAGGGGUAUCGAGUCAUUAAGGGGUAUCGAGUCAUUAUGGGGUAUCAUUAUGGGGUAUCGAGUCAUUAUGGGGUAUUGUGUGUAGUUUGAUGAGGGGAUAACAACAAUUGAAUCCAUUUUAGAAUAAGGCUGUAACGUAACAAAAUGUGGACAUAGUCAAGGGGUCUGAAUACUUUCUGAAUGCACUGUAGAACAGACCUGCUUCUCUGACAUGUAGAGUAAUGAAGCAUGUCAGUUCUAUUCAAGACAUUUCUGUCAGUACGUUAAGCCUUUCCAACUGCGUGCCAGGUCCCACGGUCAAGCUCAGCUCUGUACAGUACUACUGCAGUACUACAAGAGCAAAACUAUAGUACCGUACUCCUGAGUCAAGGCCAGGGGGCUGAACCAGAAUGGAGGCUGUGGAUGAGAGGCUGAGCUGAAGCGCCCUAUCAGAGUAAGGGAAGGGUCAGCCUAUCAUAGCAGAGGGGAAGGAGUAGCAUAUCAGAGAAGAGGGAUAUGGUUAUUUAAUGUCAUUAAAUACUGUCUAUUGAUUUGUAACAUCAGACUCGUUAGUGCAAUCAAUCUUUUUUUAAUCUAAUUUCAUGUAACAACUGAACAGAGAGACAUUGUGUCUAGACAAUAACUAAACAAGCCAUCACAGCAAAGUGUGUAUAGAACAGGGGAGAUACACUUGUAAUGUACCAUGUCCUGAUCUCCAUGGUGAUAAGACAUGUCCAGAUCAGCUAACGACCUUACAGAGAUGUUAAAUACUGGUCAGACAUGUCCAGAUCAGCUAACAACCUUACAGAGAUGUUAAAUACUGGUCAGACAUGUCCAGAUCAGCUAACGACCUUACAGAGAUGUUAAAUACUGGUCAGACAUGCCCAGAUCAGCUAACGACCUUACAGAGAUGUUAAAUACUGGUCAGACAUGUCCAGAUCAGCUAACGACCUUACAGAGAUGUUAAAUACUGGUCAGACAUGUCCAGAUCAGCUAACGACCUUACAGAGAUGUUAAAUACUGGUCAGACAUG